rnacentral:miRNA from 1 species
AUCCCGGCCAAAUUUCAUCCCGUU